rnacentral:rRNA from 1 species
CCUACGGGAGGCAGCAGUGGGGAAUAUUGGGCAAUGGACGCAAGUCUGACCCAGCAACGCCGCGUGAAGGAAGAAGGCUUUCGGGUUGUAAACUUCUGUUAAGGGGGAAGAGCAGAAGACGGUACCCCUUGAAUAAGCCACGGCUAACUACGUGACAGCAGCCGCGGUAAUACGUAGGUGGCAAGCGUUGUCCGGAUUUACUGGGUGUAAAGGGCGGGCAGCCGGAGAUAUAAGGCAGAUGUGAAAGCCACGGGCUCAACCCUUGAAGUGCAUUUGAAACUGGUUCCCUGGAGUGUCGAAGAGGUAAGUGGAAUUCCUGGUGUAGCGGUGAAAUGCGUAGAUAUUAGGAAGAACACCAGUGGCGAAGGCGAAUUACUGGUCGAUAACUGACGGUGAGGCGCGAAAGCGUGGGGAGCAAACAGGAUUAGAUACCCCAGUAGUC